CCCAGACUCCUACGGGAGGCAGCAGUGGGGGAUAUUGCACAAUGGGGGGAACCCUGAUGCAGCGACGCCGCGUGGGUGAAGGAGCGUUUCGGCGCGUAAAGCCCUAUCGGCAGGGAAGAAGGAGGACGGUACCUGACUAAGAAGCCCCGGCUAACUACGUGCCAGUAGCCGCGGUAAUACGUAGGGGGCAAGCGUUAUCCGGAUUUACUGGGUGUAAAGGGGGCGCAGACGGCAGCGCAAGCCAGGAGUGAAAGCCCGGGGCCCAACCCCGGGACUGCUCUUGGAACUGCACGGCUGGAGUGCAGGAGGGGCAGGCGGAAUUCCUGGUGUAGCGGUGAAAUGCGUAGAUAUCAGGAGGAACACCGGUGGCGAAGGCGGCCUGCUGGACUGCGACUGACGUUGAGGCCCGAAAGCGUGGGGAGCAAACAGGAUUAGAUACCCGGGUAA
rnacentral:rRNA from 1 species